GUCUAUGGCCCUACCACCCUGAACGCACCCGAUCUUGUCUGAUCUCGGAAGCUAAGCAGGGUCGAGCCUGGUUAGUACUUGGAUGGGAGAAUUCCCAUUUGAUACAGCAA
rnacentral:rRNA from 1 species